CGCGGGGGCUGGUUCCUAGUCUCCAGGAGAAGCCAAGAAGAUCUCGUCCCAGAUGAAAUUCAGCGGUUCCUGACUCUGGACGACCUUGAGCUCUCUUAACUUUCAUUAUAAAACGCCUUCUCUGUGCCAGACACUGGGUUAAACCCCGGGAUUACCACGAGAAGAGAUAGAGGCAGUCUGCAAGGAGUUUCCAGUCGACUGUGGAGGCGGACAGACCCUGGUUUCCUGAUUGAUGACUAGGCAUUCCUCUAUUAUUCCAUUCUUUUUCGGGCUUAGAUGAUAGCCUGAAAAGUAAGGAGAACCGAAAAGAAACUCUAAAGCUCACCUGUAUGGGCAACAGUAUUGGUCUACUUGAGGGAUACAGGGAUGAAUACAAUAGUUAUUGCCCUUAGGAAACCCACAGCCCAGAGAUACUAUAGGCAUGAGUGCAGCUGUUGUGUGUUUCCUGGUGUGUUCAUCUGGUAGGUCCUAGGUUCAAUAGAGACAGUUAUGUGUCUAGAUAGAAGUAAAAUGCUGAGGAGGUUUAGGAUAUAUAAAUUACUCAUAAAUUGGAGUAUCCUGGAAAACUUACUGGAGGAAGUGGCCUGUGUUUUGUAUCUUAAAAAAAUAAGUAGGAUUGGGGCAUUGGAAAUAUGGUGAGCCAUAGGAUUGGGGAGGAUGGAAGUACCCAUAGCUAAAGGCUAAGACUCUGGAACUUGAGGUCCUUAUUCAGGGAACAUGAUCUGGAGCACAGGGUGUAUGACUGGCAGGAAUAUAAGAAGGGAUUGAAGGAGGAGGCUUGAGGCCAUGUCAUAAGACCCUUAGAUGUUUUGCUAAAGGACUUCGGACUUAUCUUUAGACAAUGGAGAGCUAUGAAAUGCUCUUGAAUAGAGAAGGGACAUUAGGGUUCUCCUAUAGAAAGAUGGCUCUGGCAAAAGUGUGGGGAGUGGGUUGUAGUGUUUGGAGACAGAGAGCUCAAUUAGAUUCAAGCCAGUAAAGGAGGUUCCUAAGUGACAGGUGUAGGCUGAUACCCGGAAGCACCUGCCCGGAACCAGUUCACGUGGAUGUUGACUACACACUAUCCAGUGAUCCAAGUUCAGCAGAAACUUGCCUACCCUUAAAUUCAAUGUUCCCCCGGCGACUUGGAGUUUAACUAAGGAAUUAUUGUGACUGACCAUAUUUACCUUCCAAACCUCAUUUCCACCUUCCAGGACAGCCCUCAAGUCUGUAGCCAAACCUUUACUUCAUUGCAGGCUUGGUUUACUCACUCUUGCCCCUCAGGCUGCUCUCUGGAUGUGUGUGUGUGUGUGUGUGUUUUCUUAACACACUAGAAUGGGCUGUGCCCUAUCACAUUCUGAAGAAAUGAUGAACAAUGCCUCCUUUGUUGACCUGCAUCCUAGGCCAAUAGGGUAGGACUUUUCUUUAUUUUAAACAGAUGGAAAAGUGGUGAUGACAGAAAAUUGUCUGUUGGUAUUGAAAAAAGUGGAGUUGUCCUGUGUCUUUGAAAUCCUCUUGGUAAAAGGUGAUGAGCCUAUGAAGUUACCCUCCUUUUUGACAUGUAGACUUUGCAAGCUUCUUAAAAUGCUUCUGCUUAGCAUCUGACUUUUUAAAAACUGCCUAAAUACUCUGACCUAGAUUCUUCCAAGGAACUAAACUCUUCCCAGGGAAGUCUGUUAACUCUUUCCAGGUUCCCCCCAGAUCUAUGAGAACCAGUGAUUUCUUCCAAUAAGCUCUGCUAUGACCUUGACUGCUGUCUGCUCUUGGGCUCUAAUUAAUUAGCUGGGUGUGCCACCUCCUCAGCCUUCUAGCCUAAGAGCCUUUAUUGUCUGACUCUGUCAUCUGCUUAGGAUUUGGCACCCUGAAGGUUCGUGGAGAAUGUUGAAUAUAGUCAAGUUAUGGUGUCACUGCAGUGCCUAUAGCAGCCUCCUCAGUCAGAUAGUUGAUCAGCAACUGGUUUAUGGCCACUUUAGGAGUGCUUAGACUGGUAGAAUGAGCAAAUAGAUUACACAAGCGCGCGCGCACGCACACACACACACACAUUUUUAGAUCGGCAGAGGGGUUGGUCAGGUAACGAAAAAUUUGCCAUGAAUUUGUGUCUGGGCCACACAAGGCAACUCAGAAAGUCUCCACCCCUCUACCCUAACCAUUUAAGAAGAAAGCUGCUUUGCAAAUGUGCUCACAGACCACUUUUCAGUAUCCUUAUCCUGGGCAGUGAAAAUAGCACCAAGUUGACACUCUCUCCACCCCUUCUCAAAUGGGGAACUAAGCUCCUAAACUGCAGAAAAGACUUUUGGAUUUGGAAGGCUCCUUUUAGAUAGAGAUAGCCUUUAUUUUUCAGUCAUCUUCCUCCCUUCCCCCCUUUCCUAAGCAAGGAGAAAAUUGAACCCUGUUCAUCAGUGGUCACUUUGAUCCCACUAUAAGACCAGCAAGACACAAGGCAUCUUUGCCACUGUAUCAUGCCCAGUAAGUACAACCAGAGGCUGCUGUGUUUUCUCCUCCCCUCUUUCUGCCUUCAAGAAGGGUGAUUUUUGCUGUCUUAUUGCUUCACCUGUUUGCUUUAAACCAUAAAACAAAUAAUGCAUCUCUGGUGAGAUUCCCCUUUGUCCCAAGGUAUUGGAAUGGUUUGUGGAUUUGGUUUAAAGCUACAGAAGGGAGAGAGAGCGAGAGCAGAAGAAUAAAGGUAUUUUGCCUGAGGA